rnacentral:lncRNA from 1 species
GCGUCCAGCUGCCCUUCCACAGUGAGGCCAGGCUGCCUGGCCUUGUCCUCAGCCAGUUAAAAUGUGUUUCUCCUGAGCUAGGAAGAGUCUACCCGACAUAAGUCGAGGGACUUUAUGUUUUUGAGGCUUUCUGUUGCCAUGGUGAUGGUGUAGCCCUCCCACUUUGCUGUUCCUUACUUUACUACCUGAAUAAAGAGCCCUAAGUUUGUACUAAAAA